UUAGAUUCAUCCAGGGUAGAAGUUUGUUGAAAACCUCCUAUGGUAAGGUUCUAGCCACCAGAGGGAAAAGCCACACACCAAACGCAGAAUCUGGAAUAAACAGCGCUCCUCAGGACACAAGCCCUUCCAGGCUAAAGGAUGCCCAGGACCUGUGAAGCAUUUCUCAUUGUUUCUACGAGAUGAGACGCUGUUCCUCCCUCACCAAUGUGUGUGGGUACUGUCCCACCAAGGACCUGACUCUAACACAAAGUGGAAGAUGAGGACAUCUGCUCUCUCUGAGCUGGGAUAGUGUCUUCUCUUGCCCUUAGAACCUGGUGUUCCUGGUCCUCAGGCCUCUGGACUUGCAGACUUCCUCAGGUUGGUUCCCAAAAGAACUCUAUUCAAAUGCUGCACAACAAUGUUUUGGUCUACAUAGAAGAUUGUGGUCCACCAGGCCGUGGUGGUGCAUGCCUUUAAU